rnacentral:rRNA from 1 species
UACGGAGGGUGCAAGCGUUAUCCGGAUUCACUGGGUUUAAAGGGUGUGUAGGCGGAUAUUUAAGUCCGAGGUGAAAUCUCUGAGCUCAACUCAGAAACUGCCUUGGAUACUAUUUAUCUUGAAUAUCGUUGAGGUAAGCGGAAUAUGUCAUGUAGCGGUGAAAUGCUUAGAUAUGACAUAGAACACCGAUUGCGAAGGCAGCUUGCUAAACGAUUAUUGACGCUGAGGCACGAAAGCGUGGGGAUCAAACAGG